rnacentral:tRNA from 1 species
GCCUAGUUAGCUUAGUUGGUAGUGCGUCUGCCUUGUAAGCGCUAGGCCGCGGGUUCGAUUCCCGCCCGGAGCA